UAUAUCUUGCUUUGGGUUGCACAAUACAUUUGCGCAGGGGCUUUCAUAUAAAAGGCAGGUUUGCAGUUCUUGCAAACUCAUAACAAAACUGAACACUAUUGAAAACAGUCGGAAAAAUUGAUAAAUACUAUUUAACCGUAAAUAUGGACAAAAAGACAAAUGCCCCGCCAGCACAAGGAACAGCUCAAACUGCAUCUUCGGGACAACAGGGAAAAGAUCCUGUACAUCAGAACUGGUGGUUUGAGAGUCCAGAAAAGGGCUCGCCGUCUGGAUCUCCGACAGGAGUGAGCUCGCCGGGUCUCGGAGGCGCAUUCUUACAAAAGGCUCCAAUCAAACCAGUUGAUAGCAACCAAAACAUGUUUAAAGAAUUUGAUGAAUUCAACUAUUGAUCAUAAACGACUUUAACGUUGAUAAAUGUGCUAUAUAUGUGUUUAACUCAAGGAAUCAUGAGAAUUGGUUAUGUAUGAAUGAAUGUAUAUACAUAUUGGAAUGUAAGACUGCGAUCUAAUCGCCGUAUAAUUGUGUUUACAACUGGAGUUGUGAUUUGAACAUAUUUUUGUUUCAUCAUUAUGAUUUUAUUAAAUAUGUUUUCAGGUAACAUUAGUAUUAUUUGUUUCAUUUUUGUUAACAUUAAAGAUAAUGGUAAAUCUAA